UGACCUUGGAAAUCAAGUGUCGGUGGAGCCUGUGAGGUGACUUGAGGCGACCCAUACUUGGUUUCAAGGGUCU
rnacentral:pre_miRNA from 1 species